rnacentral:rRNA from 1 species
AUGAGACCAGUCAAGAGUAAUUUAAAGGGGGUACAGCCCCUUUNAAACAGAAUACAACCUCCCCUAGCGGAUAACUCACCCUACAAACAACAUUGUGGGCCUUCAAGCAGCCAUCAACAGAGAGUGCGUCAAAGCUCCACCCCUCACAAAAAAUCCCAAAACCCCAUGACUCCCUUCCCACUAACAGGUUAACCUAUGACCAUAGGAGAAUUAAUGCUAAAAUGAGUAACUAGGGCAUACCCCUCUCAAGCGCAAACUUACAUCUCCCCCAUUAUUAACAGACAACUAAUACUCUCACUCCAACAAGACCAUGUAUUUUACCCCCUGUUAACCCAACUCAGGAGCGCCCACUAGAAAGAUUAAAAUCUGUAAAAGGAACUAGGCAAAUCCUAAGGCCCGACUGUUUACCAAAAACAUAGCCUUCAGCUGAACAAGUAUUGAAGGUGAUGCCUGCCCAGUGACCCCAUGUUCAACGGCCGCGGUAUCCUAACCGUGCAAAGGUAGCGCAAUCAAUUGUCCCAUAAAUCGAGACUUGUAUGAAUGGCUAAACGAGGUCUUAACUGUCUCUUACAGAUAAUCAGUGAAAUUGAUCUCCCUGUGCAAAAGCAGGAAUGUGAACAUAAGACGAGAAGACCCUGUGGAACUUAAAAAUCAGCAGCCACCCCAUAACAAAGCCCAACCUACCAGGCCCACCUUCAACAAAACUCUGGCUCGCAUUUUUUCGGUUGGGGCGACCUUGGAGAAAAACACACCCUCCAAAAACAAGACCACCACCUCUUAACUAAGAGCAACCCCUCAACGUACUAAUAGUGACCAGACCCAAUAUAAUUGACCAAUGGACCAAGCUACCCCAGGGAUAACAGCGCAAUCCCCUCCAAGAGCCCAUAUCGACAAGGGGGUUUACGACCUCGAUGUUGGAUCAGGACAUCCUAAUGGUGCAGCCGCUAUUAAGGGUUCGUUUGUUCAACGAUUAACAGUCCUACGUGAUCUGAGUUCAGACCGGAGCAAUCCAGGUCGGUUUCUAUCUAUGAUGAACUGUUCCUAGUACGAAAGGAUCGGAAAAGUGAGGCCAAUACUUUUAUGCACGCCUCCUCUCUAAGUGAUGACUGCAACUAAACCACCAAGAGACCUCCCACAACACCCAGCCCUAGAAAAGGGCCGCUAGCGUGGCAGAGCCNGGUAACUGCAA